UGUCCCCAUUUUAUGAGGUAGUUUAGGUUUAAAGAUAUUAGAAAUUUACCCAAAGUUACGCAGUUAUAAACAUUGUAGUAAUUUCAAACUCAGGUCUUCGUGACUGCAAAGGCUGCUGUCUUAAGUAUUGUAAUACAUUAGAGCUCCGGAUUCCCUCCCACUCAAAACAGAGACUGAGACUCCAACCAAUUUCCACCAUUAUUGGGAGUCAAACGAGAGAGACUGUGGCAAUGUAUUCUAAGCUGUACAAAGGUAUAAACAUAUUCACUAGAUUUGUAGAAUGAAGUUAUUCCUUCCCUAUACUUUCCACUACAACAAUUCAGCCAAAAAGAUGGCUUUCAUACUAAGCAUAAGAAGGAACUUCACUGUAAUUAUGAUAUUCUAACCAAGAAUAUAUGCAUAUCUAGGCAAUAACCAAAGUGAAUAGAAUAAAAUUUAAUUCCUGAUAGAUUAAAUAGGCAAUAGCAAGGAAUGCUAACGCUCCUCAUAGCGUUCUUGUUGGAAGAAUCAUCUAGGAGGCAUUGGGAUUUCUGGUGCUUUUUAAGCAAUGAGAGAUAUCAGUCCACUGAAUGAGGAAGAGAAUAACGUUUAGUUUCGGACUAAAAGUUCAUCUGGACUACGGAAAACACGUUUGCCUCAAUCAGUGAAGAAGGUAUGCUGAGAGCUGAAAGAAAAGGAAAGCAGCAACAGUGAGAGCUCAGAAAUUCCCAGACUGUUUUGAUGAUAAGGUCCAAGAACUUGCCAUGUGAUCCAUCACUACUAGACUCCCACAACUGCAUUAGAUUUGUUCAGGAUUUUCAUAUAAUUUUCAUAACUGGCUAAGCAUUGGAAAUGGAUGGGGAGAAGGCCUGAUGAAAAUUACUGAGGAAGCCUCUUAGCCUAUGUGCUCUGAGAGUAGUGACACCUAGCAGUCGUUCAAAAGAUGAUCAAGAGGAGCAUGAAAAAAUCCCCUGAAUCCAUUGGCUUUCUUCCCUAUACUGACAACAGUUUACUUGUGUAAGAGAUGCAUGCCUCGACUCCGGACCCCUUCUUUCAUCUGCAAAAUCAGCAGCACCCUCACAUCAUCUCCUGUAACAAACUCUCUCUGUCUCCUCCAUAUAAGGUCACUGAUGGUUACAUUUAGG
rnacentral:lncRNA from 1 species